ensembl:lncRNA
GUUGCAUCUUGCUCCCUCUGGUGUUAUAAAUGGCAACCGGCACUAAUUGAACCACAUUAAAGGCAAACUACACUCAUUGGCAGUAGCAUAGGCACACAUAAAAUUUCUUCUGAAAUUUUCGCUUUCUAGUUAUUAUUAUUAUUAUUCUCCAGUUUCCGCCUGAAAUUUUGCAGCGAAUCUCGCCCCGCAGUUUUGAGACAAGCUUCAUAUAUGUUACCUCAUUUUGUGCGGCCGGAUCUGGAAUGUGGUAUGUCCGGAGUGGUACGGCCUGUCUACCCUUAUUUGGGUAGCAAUGACGACACUAAGCAAUGACGACACUAUCAACGGCGCGUCUCUUCGCCCCUCCUCCGCUUUGAAAUUGACCGUAAACGUGCUUUUCUGAGACAGCGUCGCUAUCUCUUCGGUGGUAACGCGUCUUUCUCCCCCUCCUCCGCUUUGGAAUUGAACUUACAGGGAUUUUCUGAAGUGUUUACUAAGACACCCGUAAGCUUUUACAAGGCGUUAACUACAGCAGUCUUUAAUACCUCAACUCUUGCUUCAGCCAAGUAGGAAAUCUAAACCAGACAGUACAAGGGUACAUUUCAGCGUUACAAGCCAAUCAGUUUGCUAAUUGUUCUGUGAGAUUUGUUUGCAAAGUUUAAGGUGUUAAAGCAGGAGCUGGCAUUCUGCCAGAGCCUCAGCAACAAGACCGCCUCCCAGCAACGAGACUGCCUGUCAGCCUUGCAAGGUACCCAAUUUUCCAAUUACUCUAUAACAAAACUGUUGUGGGCAACAAGACUGUCUCCUAUGUUUGCAAGCCAAUCACUUUGUUCUUGUAAGAUUUGUUUGAAAAGUUUGAGGUGGUAACUGUGAGCUGUGAACAUCCGGGUUUGCUUGCUGCUGGCAUUCGACCAGCGUCUCAGCAACAACACUGCCUCCCAGCUUUGCAAGGUAAUUACUUUCCCAAUUACUGUACACCAAAAUGGACUAACUGUCGUGGUCAACAAAUCUGCCUCCCAACUUUCAAGGUAAUCACUUUCCCAAUUACAAUAUACAAACUGUUAUGGAACUUUACUUAACAAAGCCUUAAGACCAGGUAGUGACACUAUCAAUAUGUCUAUUUAAAGAAAAGAGAUUUUUUUUUUUUUGUUCUUGUAGUCAUCUUGUCUAUCAAUGUAUCAGA